GGGGUCGUCGUCUAGCUUGGUUUAGGAUACCAGCCUGGGGCGUUGGCGAUCCUGGGUUCAAAUCCCAGCGACCCCA
rnacentral:tRNA from 1 species